rnacentral:rRNA from 1 species
AUGGACCCUGUGGCGGAGGUUUCUCAUCGGAUGCUCGGCGGCGCCCCGACUCCUCCCGCCGAAGACGCGAUUGAGGGGAGCGGAGUGGAGAUCGCGCAAGUUGGCGUGUCGGUGGCGGAGGGAGAAGCGGAAAACCCGCCAGCGGCGGCGCCAUUGCUGAACGAGGGCAAUGAGGGCGGCGUCCUGGACAAGCAGGAGGACGGGGCGGCGCCCACGCUGAGCGAGGCCAACAUGGAUGUGGACGCGGCGCCCUUGGCGAGCGAGGGCAAUGAGGAUGGCGCCCUGGACAAGCAACAGUACGGGGCGCCGCCGCCACUGCGGGAGGCCAACAUGGAUGUGGAUGAGGCGCCCUUGGCGAGCGAGGGCAAUGAGGAUGGCGCCCUGGACAAGCAGCAGGACGGGGCGCCGCCGCCAGUGAGGGAGGCCAACAUGGAUGUAGAUGAGGCGCCCUUCCCGAGCGAGGGCAAUGAGGAUGGCGUCCUGGACAAGCAGCAGGACGGGGUGGCUCCUGCGGUGAGCGAGGCCAACAUGGAUGUGGAUGAGGCGUCCUUUCCGAGAGAGGACACAGAGCACCAUGCAGCAACCGAGUCCAAAACGGAGGUGAAUGAGUGUGGCGUUCUGGAGAAGCAGCAAGAUGUGGCGGCAUCUAUGAUGGGCAAAACCAAGAUUGUGGUGGACGAGAGCAGCGCUCCCCAGCAAGAUCACACCGUGGCGGCUGCGCCAAGUGAAGGUAACAGCAGAGUGGUGGACCAACAUCCCAACACAUCUGAUGGUGGCUUCCCGGUGAAGAAGGAUGAGGAGGGUGAAUGCUUGGUAGGCCGCUACAUCAGCAGGAGUGUUUCAGAUGAUGGACGUAUUUGCCUUGGGAAGGUUGCAUCCUAUGAUGGCAGCAUUGGGGUGUACAAUGUGGUGUUUGAGGAUGGACAGGGCGAGGAGUUAUUGCUUCAUCCGCUCAGAGAGUUACUUAUGGCCGAGGAGAGUAGUGCAUCUGGUAUGAAGAUGAGCUGCAGGAAGAGGAAGCUGGAUUUGCUGGUUUCACCAGGGAGUGCCAUGGAGACGAAAGUGCCACCGCGUGCUAGACAGAGGGUUGAUCCAUGCAAGAUGCCUGCCAGGCCUGAUGCAUUGCAGGAGACUGGGUGUGAUUCUGAUAUAUCCGGCAAUGCAGCGUCCUCAAGCAAUUCAUCAGUUUCCACUAAAGAAUUGUCAGCUGAGCUGUGCCCUCCAGUGCAGGGCCCCGAGUUGCCUCCAUCGUCUGCAGAUAUUGCUGUUCCAGAGGAGUCUAUAAGUCAUCUGUUUUCUGUUUACAACUUCCUACGAUCAUUCAAUGUGCAGCUCUUCCUCAGUCCAUUUGGGCUGGAUGAUUUUGUUGCAUCCAUUAAUUGCACCGUGCAGAAUACAUUACUGGAUGCUGUACAUGUCUCGUUAUUGCGGGCGCUGAGGCGGCAUCUUGAGACUAAAUCCUCCGGCGGAUCAGAACUUGCUUCAAAUUGCUUGAAGUAUGUAGAUUGGGCAUUACUAGAUGUGUUGACUUGGCCAACUUUCUUACUGGAGUACCUCUAUUUAAUGGGCUACAUUAAGAGUCUAGGGGGGAAGAGUUUUGGUAGAACCCUCCUAGCCAUUGAAUAUUAUAAGCUUCCUGUUGCAAUGAAGCUUAGGCUCCUCCAGAUACUCUGUGACCAUGUCAUUGAAUCAGGAGAGCUCAAAGCUGAACUGGAGGCUCGGGAAGGCUACAAUGAAGAAACAGAGUAUGAGACAGACUCUAGUAUUUUGUCGGAGGCUGGAUCACAAGCUGUUCUGACCAGGGCCUCAAAAGCUUCUGUGUCCAAAAAGGUUGAAGGUUUGCAGGACCUGGAAACUGCUUCAAAUGUAACAAAUACAGAAGCUGUUUUACUGCAUUCGUCCCAGGACGGCAACAGUGAUGAUUGCCGAAUAUGUGGAAUGGAUGGUACUUUGGUAUGCUGUGAUGGCUGCCCAUGGGCAUACCACUCAAGAUGUAUAGGUCUCAACAAAGCAUUUCUACCACAGGGACUUUGGUUUUGUCCAGAAUGCGUGGUUAACAAGCUUGGACCAGCAUCUUCGAGAAUAGAGCGUGGGGCAAGAGGAGCUCAAAUGUUUGGCAUUGAUAUGUGCGGAAGGCUCUUCCUAGGAUCCUGCAACUAUUUGCUGGUGAUUGGAACAUCUACAGAUGCAGGGUCAUAUGCAAGAUAUUACAAUCAAUAUGAUGUUGUCAAGGUCAUGCGGAUACUUGCUCCUUCAGAUGCAUACACAGAUAUUUGUAUGAGAAUAACAGAAUACUGGAGGCAUCUGCUUGACAUAUUUCAGAACGAGAGAUCAAAAAUAGGUAAAGAAGCUGGUGUGAGAUAUACCACACAAUCCAAUACAUUGUCAAGUGUUACUCCAAUGGACGGAGCAGUUGGAAGUGUUCUGACAACUUUGAAAGACGCGGCGGGCAGUAAGACAGUAGUAACUCCUCAAAGAGAUGUGCAGCAUGAAAUUGUGGUCAAUCAAUUUACAUUGUGCUCAGCAGAACACCUGGAGAAACAAAAAUGCAUGGUGACCAGUGUAGGUGCUCCCACAGAGAAGAACAAUGAAGUAUGCAGGCAAACUCCAUUAGCUCCCAACGACAUACAUAAUACACCCAUGAAUGGAGCUUUUCGACCCGCUGGGAUAUCCUCUAUUUCUCAUGAGAACAGUUCUGUGGUAACAGGUGUGUCUAGUGUAAUGCCCGCACAGUCAUCACAUGGGUUGGUUCGUCCGGACAUCUCGUGUGGUUUUGGAAUAGAUAAUGGAUUGUCUGGACAAAAUACUGGGAACACUAUCUCUGUAAAGGCAGGCUUGUCUUGUCCAUCUUAUAAAGGCAAAUACCCUCUUCAGCUGAUUUCUGAGAUUGGGAGUACUAGUGAUGGUAAGUCUGCUGAAGUGCCAUCUUUUAAACCCCAGGCUUACAUGAAUCUGUACAAUCAUGGUAAUGUUGCAGCAUCUGCUGCCGCCAACCUAGCUAUUCUUACAUCUGAGGAAGGUAAGGUUUCAGUAUCCCAAUUGACCACAAACCCAAGAAAGAAAAUGGCUGCUGACUGUGCUCUACAAGUGAAAGCAUUUUCCUCACCAGCGGCACAAUUUAUUUGGCCAAGUACUGGAAGGAAGAUUAUGGAAGUCCCAAGGGAUAGAUGUGGUUGGUGCAUUGCUUGUAAAAUUUCAGCAGCUGGAGCUAAAAAGGCUUGUUUUCUUAACGUGGCCACUGCAAAUGCUGUUAAGGGGUCUGCUCGAAUUCUUAGUGCCAUGCAUGUAAUCAAAAGCUCCGGGAGCCACUUCGCCAGCAUCACUGCUUAUAUGGUUAACAUGGAGGAAAGUUUGCGUGGACUUUUAGUCGGUUCACUACAAGACUUGCAACAGAGACAACGGUGGCAUAAACAACUACAGGAAGCUUCCAACUGCAAAACUAUAGUACCCCUUUUGCUUGAGUUGGAGAGUAAUAUUCGUUCCAUAGCAUUUUCUCCAAUCUGGGUGAAGCUAGUAGAUGACUGGCCUUUGGAAUCUCCUCCUGCAUCUGCGGGUGCAUUGCGUCCUGCAGCAUACCAAAAACGUGGAACUGGUGGAAGGCGUGGCAGAAAACGUUCAUUGGUAACUGAAUCUGCUGCUGCUGCCGAUGAUGACAAGAGUUGGAAAAAGGUUAAUUGGUGGAGUGGAGGAAAUAUUUCUAAGCGUAUUUUGCAGAGGGGGGUUCAUCUUAGUUCGGCCAUAAGAAAAGCUGCCCGUCAAGGUGGUAAAAAAAGGAUGGCUGGUCUGUCUUAUCAUGAUUGCUCCAUUCUUCCAAGACGAACUCGACAAUUUGCUUGGAGAGCGUGUGUUGGUUUAAGCCAGAAUUCAUCUCAACUUGCUCUGCAGGUCAGAUAUCUUGAUGCCCAUAUAAGAUGGAAGGAAUUCUUGUCUCCAGAUCAAAUCCCUUCUGAUGGAAAAAGUUCAGAUGCUGACUUUUCUGCACUGAGAAAUGCAGUACUUUGUGAUAAAAAGAUAGUCGACAAUAAGAUAAGAUAUGCACUUAAGUUCCCCAACCAGAAGCAUCUCCCUGUCCGUGUAACCAAGAAUAUUUUGGAAGCAGAAGGUAAUCAGGAUCAGAAUGGCAAAUUUUGGUUUUCUGAAAAUCAUGUCCCACUGUACAUGGUACGAGAGUUUGAGCAGAAACCUGGGGUUAGCUCCUUGCCUACUCCAGGAAUUGUACACUCUUUCAUGAAUUUAUACAAAAGGCGAGUAAAAGCAUCUACUGGAGAUGUCUUUUCUUAUCUCUUUCACAAGGGGGAUAUCUAUCCCUGCUCUUCAUGCAAGAAAGAUGUUCCCUUCAGGGAUGUAAUAAGAUGUAGCGAUUGUCAAGGUUAUUGUCACAAGGAGUGCACAGUAAAAUCUGUUGGUGGCAAAGGAGGCACUGCUGCUUCCAGUUUGAUAUGCAAGUUAUGCCUUCAGAAGCGGAAUCUUAUCCUUACAAAUUACAGUACAAAUGCAAGAUAUGCCUUGCCUCAAAAGAAGAGUACCUGCCAAUUGCCAGUGAGCGCUCCCAAAAUAAUAUUCAAAGUUGGUUCUUCCCAUUCUGCUGAACCAGCCGCAAAGGUUCAAGCCCAGCCAGUCGCUAAAGUUAAAGCUCAGCCAGUCACUAAGGUGGAAACCUGGCCAGUUGCUAAGGUGGAAGCCCUGUCAACCGCGAAGGUGCAAACACAUCCAAUCACAGAGUUGAAAGCCUGUCCAGUUGCAAAUUUGGCAACUCAGAAUGUUGCAAGGUUGCAGGCUCAGGCAAAGAUUGAAGCUAACAGAUCCAAGUCAGAGAAACCGAGGAGACGUAAAAGGCCAGAAGAGAUCAAAUACUUUGGUCUCUCUUGGAAGAAAAAUAAGAGCGACAGAAGUGGAAGUGAUUUCAGGGCGAAUGAUGUAAUCCUAAAAUGCAAGGAUGGUAUAGGAUCAGCAAUAAAACCGACUUGUUGUCUCUGUAAGAAAUCUUAUUGUCCAGAUUUCCUAUAUGUCCGCUGUGAGCAGUGUAAAGCUUGGUUUCAUGGUGAUGCCUUGCGACUUGAGGAAGAAAGAAUACUUGAAGUGGUUCAAUACCGAUGCUGCAAAUGCCGAAGGAGAGCCAUGCCAAUAUGUCCCCAUUCAGAUGAUUAUAAGAAGCCCGGACCAGAAUUCAGUGAACAAACAGUUGCAACGUCAUCCCAAUCAAGCAUGCUGUCUAGUGAGGAGACUGCUUCUGUAGCAGAUCAAGACCCACUGCUUGCUUCCUAUGGAAUAGUUGAACCGAUUGGGGAAGAGACUUUUGAUGCUGAUUUAUCAAUGAACACGGUAAGAUUUACCUCGGGAAUUAAUCAGAAGCUAACCAUAAGAAGGGCACAAGGUAAAAAUAGUGGAUGUGUUGAUCAAGCUGGUGUGGAUGAGUACAGUAAUCAGAAUCAACCUCUGGCGGAUGCAAAUGUCGAUUUCAGUCAUAUGAAUGGAUUUUCUCUAUCAGAGCUUGAAGGUGUGGAUCCUUCAGAGCUACUGGGGUGGGAUCUUUCCCAAGGAAAUGAGUAUACCUCCCCUCCCGAUUACACUGCUAAUUGCCAGUUAAAUGGCGCAAGCUGUGGCAGUGCUGCAACUGGGGAUUUUGAACUGCAGACCUUUUUUUCAUUUACUGAUUUGCUUGAAGCUGAUGAUACACGGUUUGGUCAGACUUUUGGGAUGUCUGCCGGUUUGCAAGAUGAUGGUAACUGCACAGGAAGCUUCGACCAAGAAAUAGCCAGUUUUGAUGAUAUGGCUUUCAUGGUAGAAGACGUGUCUUCAAAUAUGCACUUCCCAGCAAAUGCUCCCCCUCCUGACGAUGUACCGUGUAAGAAGUGCAACAACUCCCAGCCGCCACCUGACCUCAAAUGCCUAGUCUGUGGCCUGCGCAUACACCGUCAGUGCUCACCUUGGGAUGAAAGCGACCUGCCUGUUGAGAGUGCCGACUGGGCCUGUGGUGCUUGCCGGGAGUGGCGAUGA